rnacentral:rRNA from 1 species
GACAGAGGAUGCAAGCGUUAUCCGGAAUGAUUGGGCGUAAAGCGUCUGUAGGUGGCUUUUUAAGUCCACCGUCAAAUCCCAGGGCUCAACCCUGGACAGGCGGUGGAAACUACCAAGCUGGAGUACGGUAGGGGCAGAGGGAAUUUCCGGUGGAGCGGGUGAAAUGCGUAGAGAUCGGAAAGAACACCAACGGCGAAAGCAACUCUGCUGGGCCGACACUGACAUGAGAGACGAAAGCUAGGGGAGC